rnacentral:rRNA from 1 species
UACGUAGGGUGCAAGCGUUAAUCGGAAUUACUGGGCGUAAAGCGUGCGCAGGCGGCUUUGCAAGACAGAUGUGAAAUCCCCGGGCUUAACCUGGGAACUGCAUUUGUGACUGGCAGGCUAGAGUAUGGCAGAGGGGGGGUAGAAUUCCACGUGUAGCAGUGAAAUGCGUAGAGAUGUGGAGGAAUACCGAUGGCGAAGGCAGCCCCCUGGGCCAAUACUGACGCUCAUGCACGAAAGCGUGGGGAGCAAACAGG